rnacentral:rRNA from 1 species
GACGAACGCUGGCGGCGUGCUUAACACAUGCAAGUCGAACGGUAAGGCUCCAGCUUGCUGGGGUACACGAGUGGCGAACGGGUGAGUAACACGUGGGUGACCUGCCCUGCACUUCGGGAUAAGCCUGGAAACUGGGUCUAAUACCGGAUAGGACCGCACCGUGAGGGUGUGGUGGAAAGUUUUUUCGGUGUGGGAUGGGCCCGCGGCCUAUCAGCUUGUUGGUGGGGUAAUGGCCUACCAAGGCGGCGACGGGUAGCCGGCCUGAGAGGGUGGACGGCCACAUUGGGACUGAGACACGGCCCAGACUCCUACGGGAGGCAGCAGUGGGGAAUAUUGCACAAUGGGCGGAAGCCUGAUGCAGCGACGCCGCGUGGGGGAUGACGGCCUUCGGGUUGUAAACUCCUUUCACCAUCGACGAAGGGUUUCUGACGGUAGAUGGAGAAGAAGCACCGGCUAACUACGUGCCAGCAGCCGCGGUAAUACGUAGGGUGCGAGCGUUGUCCGGAAUUACUGGGCGUAAAGAGCUCGUAGGUGGUUUGUCGCGUCGUCUGUGAAAUUCCGGGGCUUAACUCCGGGCGUGCAGGCGAUACGGGCAUAACUUGAGUACUGUAGGGGAGACUGGAAUUCCUGGUGUAGCGGUGAAAUGCGCAGAUAUCAGGAGGAACACUGGUGGCGAAGGCGGGUCUCUGGGCAGUAACUGACGCUGAGGAGCGAAAGCAUGGGGAGCGAACAGGAUUAGAUACCCUGGUAGUCCAUGCCGUAAACGGUGGGCGCUAGGUGUGGGUUUCCUUCCACGGGAUCCGUGCCGUAGCUAACGCAUUAAGCGCCCCGCCUGGGGAGUACGGCCGCAAGGCUAAAGCUCAAAGGAAUUGACGGGGGCCCGCACAAGCGGCGGAGCAUGUGGAUUAAUUCGAUGCAACGCGAAGAACCUUACCUGGGCUUGACAUAUACAGGAUCGCGCCAGAGAUGGUGUUUCCCUUGUGGCUUGUAUACAGGUGGUGCAUGGUUGUCGUCAGCUCGUGUCGUGAGAUGUUGGGUUAAGUCCCGCAACGAGCGCAACCCUUGUCUUAUGUUGCCAGCACGUUGUGGUGGGGACUCGUAAGAAACUGCCGGGGUUAACUCGGAGGAAGGUGGGGAUGACGUCAAAUCAUCAUGCCCCUUAUGUCCAGGGCUUCACACAUGCUACAAUGGUCGGUACAGUGGGUUGCCAGUCCGUGAGGGCGAGCUAAUCCCGCAAAGCCGGUCUCAGUUCGGACCGGGGUCUGCAACUCGACCCCGUGAAGUCGGAGUCGCUAGUAAUCGCAGAUCAGCAACGCUGCGGUGAAUACGAUCCCGGGCCU